UAGAAAUUUCUCUUUUGUUUCUAAUCCUUGCUAUAUGCAGUAUUACUCAACACCAGAAAAUGAUCUAAUGCAUUGCAUUUUAUAUAUAUUAAUUUGUUAUUUCUAUGCUAAACAAUAAUCUCUUGGGCUGUUUCUUCUAAACUUAUUGGGGCAGUAAUUAUUAAAAAUCAGUUAAAUUGGGAUUGUAGUUCUUCUGACUUACAAUGUGAAUUAUUCUUUUUUUAUUUUUGCUUUAUUUAAAAUAAAGCAGGGUUCAAUUUAUGCCAUAAAUAGUAUAAUUUUAUACUUCCAGAUUUUGAGAUCUUUUUCCUUUGUAGUUUUAUUUGUAUUUUCUCCUACCUUUAUUCCAUCUUUCUCAAAUUUUCAAAGCCCCCAAUUUCAAGGAAAUGGUUCUCUACAAUACUGACUCUUUUGUUCUAUAAUCUGCACUACCCUUAAGUUAAAUGGGAAUUUUCUUAAGACUCACCCCUCCCCCUCCAUGCACACAAGUAAAAAUGAUUGAUGGAGAGUAUUUUAUAUUAAUCAUUUUGAAUGUUAUUAUGAAUGUACUUUGAAAUGAAUUAUCUAGUUCAAGGUUUUCAGUUUAAAAUAGGUAGACAGAAUACAAUCAAACUUUCAGAAUAUAAUCAAACUCUUAAGAUUAAUUUUAUAAUUGGUCAUAAAAAUUUAAAUAUUCUCUUAGGAUUUUUAAAGGCUUGAGAAGCGCUGUUUUACAAAAAAAUAAAUUAAUUAAUUCUUUGAUUUAAUCCAAACUUUUUAUUAUACAAUUAUUAUGUUAUUCCUCCAAAAUGCCUACCAUAUAUUCCUUGAAUUAUAUUAAAUGAUGUGCAUUUCUAGGCAGCUGAAAUAGAUUUACCUUUUCUCAUGAUAAAGCUUAAUAUAUAGUAAAAUUAAAUUUCUAAAAUUUAACAGAAGUACCAUCCAUAUUGUCUGCAUGUUGUAAAUUGAACCCUGUUUAGUCAUAUUAACGUUGGCUAUUAGCACCUCUGGUCAUUUUUUAAAUAAGGUGGUUUAUUCUUGGGCAAAGGGCUUUUCAUAAUAUGGGGAGUUGAUUAUCUCUUUGUGGUUUUAUAGUGAAUCAGUUGGUAAUAGUUAAAUCACUUUAAUUAUAUAAGCACUAUAGCAUAAAUACUUUUUCAACCAAAUUUUUUUUAAUAGUCUGUCUUAACUAGUACUUAUUGUCAUAUAAUGUAAAAAGUUAGAAAGGACUUUCCUACAUACACUUAAUCAAAGAACUUUUUGAAUUUAAUUAUCUCGGGAUUUUACCUUGCAUGAAAGGAACCCAGUAUAUAAUUAUAUUUUUUAAAAAUAAUUUCUUUGUCCUAUUUUUGAUCCUGGGGUUAUAUUUGCUUUGUUUAAUGUGGUGACUUGCUCCUUUCUUUUUUUCUGUGUUUUGAAUAGAAUAUGUAACAUGAAAUAUCUGAGCUUGAAUAUUUGAAAGUCUUCAGUUAACAAAUUUCUUAGACGAGGAACAUUAUUAGAAGUUCUUUGGUAAUGUUCUUGCUUACUUUUUAUAUUAUUGGCAAGUUUUCCUUUUUGUCAUUUAUAGUUUUGGGGAAACAUGUUUACUAUUAAAUUUUUCAAACUUAGUUUAGUUACAUUGUUAUAUGUGAUUAUUUUACAUCUUCAGAAACUACUACUCUGUCUCCUAUUUUAUAUAUAAUUUUGUUUGGUUUUGGUGGUAGUCUUUCAGUGUGGUUUUUAAUCCCAACAUAGAUACAAGGAACACUCACUUCUCAAAUUUUUCUUCAUUCAAAUGGAGACAGCUCCAUUUUAGACUAUAAAGUUUUUACAGUUAAAAAAGUGAGUUUCUCUCUGCACUAGUGUCUGGUUUUAUAAUAAGAGUUAUAAAAUAUACUAUUGAAAAACACAUAAAGUAUCAGUGAAAUAUCAGGGAAAAAAUGCAUAGACUCUCCUGAAGACCUCUCUGUCAAGAUGUGUUUUCUGUGUAAAGUUUAUGGUAUCAGAAGUGCUAGGUUUCUUUGAGGGGUGCCUGGGUGGCUCAACUAGUUAAAUGCCCAACUCUUGGCUUCAGCUCAGGUCAUGAUCUCAGGAUCAUGAGAUGGAGCCCCACAUCGGGGCCCCAGCUCAGUGGGGAGUUGGCUUGGGAUUUUCUCUUCCUCUCCUUCUGCCCUCCGCCCAUGUGCUCUGUCUCUAAAAUAAAUAGUGUGUUGUUUUUGUUGUUGUUGAUGCUGCUGCUGCUGUUGUUGUUGUUGUUAAGUGCUAGGAUUCCUUGAGCAUUCUCAGCUCAGUGUUCCCUAUCAUCCAGUCCUGUACGUGCUCUGAAGUAUCGUGAGCCUCAUAAAAUUAUCACCUCUCUCUUCCUCAGUAUACAGACAUUUAUAUCUUCAACUGUAAUUGUAGUGAUGCACUGGCCUAAUAAGGGAGGACAUAAGAAUUAGGCCUAGACCCUCAAGAUUUACACUAGUAAGAAAGCCACCUUGAUUAGAAGGCUAACUGAAGUGUCUUGGCUCCAAAACUUUGUUUCUACAGCUUUACCUUUUCUUUGAAAGUAAUUGCUGUCGCUGUUGGAGGGGGGAGGUGCAAAAAUGUCAUUCCUUAACAUUCUAACCCAAGUUUGGAAAAUCAGUCUGUUUUUUACUGCCCGGCAAUAUAGCUGAGGUAGCGGAGAUGGUGUGUGUGUGUGUGUGUGUGUGUGUGUGUGUGUGUGUAGCAAUUACAGUUUUUCUGACAUCAUGCCAACCCUUUGUAAGUAAUAUUUCUUAUUUAAUCCAUUCAAUGUAACUACAGUGAGCUACAUACUAUUAACUUCCCUGUUUUACAGAUGAGGAAACAGAGAGACAGAGUGUAAAUAAUAUGCCUGUUGGUUAUACAGCUAAUGAAUGACAGAGCCAGGAUUUCCACCCAAGUAGUCUGACUUCACUGUUUUGUCCUUUCAACACUGUACUACUAUAUUAGUUCUUAGACAAUUUACUAAAGUCUUUAAGGAUUCAAAAACAAAUCCAUUGUGUGAUUUGUAACUAGAUAUUCUGGUUAGGACUCUGUUCUAUCUUUAUAGUAACCUAGAAAGAAAGAUGGUUCCUGUUAAGUUCUACCCUAGCACCAGAUCAUGGUUGUUGUGUUGGUGACUGUCACCCAAACAUAAUAUACAGUGCCUAAAAGUCUACCUUUCUCCAAGACCAGACUCCAGGAAAGUAACUACAGCAAACAGUAGAGCCCCUAACCUCUCUACCAAAAAGCCUACCCAAAGCCUAGCUUCCUUGUUUCCUGGCUGACAGCUUACUCAGAUCAAUGAUGCUGACAGUGACUUCCUUGUUCAGGCGGCAGCAGCCUAAAAAGGCAUAACUCUGUCCUGUGAGUGUAACAGCAAAAAUAUAGAAGAAUAUAAUGCAAUUGCAGCAUUCCUAAAGAAAGGUGCAUGUGUGUAAUACACAUGUAGUGAUUUGUUUUGCCUGUUCAUACUUGCUUAAUUCUUGUUAAUAAAAUCGAAUGACCAGCAUUUCCAAAAUCAGUCUUUCCUGUAGUGUUAACCAUUUCUGUAAGUCAUUUAGAAAAUAAGAGUAGUUACCAAUUUUUAAUUUGCUUAUUAUUUAUAUUUUAUAAAACUUUGGAAAUACAAAAUUCUGUAAAGCUUUUUGUUAAGUUUGUAAAAAAAAUAGUUCUAAAAUGCAUGUCUUUGUUAAAGUGUUAAUCAAAUUGUUCAUGAUACCUUAUGAAUAAAAUAUGGUCCAGAUGCUAGCAUUAUUUGGUAGAUCUUGAAACUACAGAAUCUACUUUUAAAGAUUGUUAAUUCUAUUUCAUUGAUUCUAUUUCAUUGUGCAAGUAGAUUUCUAGCUGGAUUCUAUGGUCUAUAAACCCAUGGUCCCACAUUAUUACUAAUUUUCAUAUAGAAGAAAUGAUUACAUGAUACUGUGAGGGGGAAAUAAUAGCUAGAGAUUAAAAUAUAAACAUUCAGAAAUUCAGUGACUUCAUGAGCACUGGGGCAAAACAAAUAUAAAUCUUGGCUCUGUUUAAUGAGUACCUCCCAAGUUCCAGUCACUAUAGCUAGUCUUCAGGUGGUAUUUAUAAACCUAGGAAAGAUUAUACCUCCAUGGUCCUUUUAAUCUCUCAGAUUCUGGGCUAGCAGUUACUUGGAUAAUGACUAUUUUUUUUUUUUUUUUUUUUUUUUAAGAAAAACUGAAGGAAUUUUUAAAGUCAGUUUAAAUGAAGGUAAUGAUCAUUAGUACUGUUUUCAUUAGUUCUCUUUUACCUAAGUCCUGGUGAUUCCUUUUUUAAAUUAGAGUUCUAACAAAACUUAAAUAGGUUCUUAGUCAUUAUAUUCUAAAUCAUUACCUCAUUAAAUUCUACAAUUUGAAAUCUGCUCAGGCCCCCUUAUUCUUCAAGAAAAGAGACGGAGUCUCAAAGAAGUUAAGUUGCACAUCCAAAGUAGUGUCCCACAGUAAUGAACUAGUCAGGAUCAGAGUCCAGGUCUCUUGACUCUUAUUUUAUUAUGUUAUAGCAUGCCUCCACUCUCAUGCUGUAAAGUCUCUUUUUCUUGUGCUGUCUUCCCAAUUGUUUUAUAUUUACAAGUUGAAAAAGAAAUUCUCAGAGGUCCAUUUGGAGUUUGCCAUAUGAAUAAAAAGAAGUUCAUCUUUAUAUUUAAUCCACAAUAUGGCUAUUGAAGAAUAGAAGCUCAUCUUGAAGGAGAGGAUGAGUCAAGUGUGCAGUAAUACCGUUUUUACAGGUAAAAUUACUCUUAAUUUGUAAAGAACUAAAUUUCACAGUCAAGUACUUUAAAACCAUUUUACAAGUCUGAGGUUUUCUAAUCAUUCUUUUUCUUUUUUCAGGAUGACUAACAUCUGAAGAGUAUGUCAUAGUGUGUAUUGGAUUUUAAUUUUAUUUCAGAGUGUAUUUUCUGUCAAUUUCAUAAUAAAUCUCAGCAAAGUCUGUUUGUUUUUUAUAUCACAGUACUUCCUGUGUGUGCAUUUCUUUCUCCGUUCUUAGAUUGGAAGAAUGUAAAUAGUCUUUCUGGAAAUAACUUAUUUGAUUCCUACAUAAAUUAGUCCAAAUUAAAGUUAAAUUAUUGAAAUAAUUUCUUUGUCAAGUAUUGUCUGAAUAGAAGUAUUAACGAGGUGAUCCUGUUCAUGAAGAUGGUGCUGAAGGUGAAGAAGGAAGCUUCUGACUUUCCCAAAGCUAAAGUCAAAGCAAAGGCUUUGAAGGUCAAGAAAGUGGUAUUGGAAAGUGUUCACAGUCAAAAAAAAAAAAAAAAAAUCUGCACAUCACCUGCAUUCCAGUGGCACAAGACACUGCAUGUCCAAAGGUAGCCCAAACACCCCUGAAAGAGCACCCCCAGGAGAAACAAGUUGGACCACUAUGCCACCAACUUCCUUCUGACUACUGAGUCAGCCAUGAAGAAAAUAGAUGACAACAUACUUGUGUUCAUUGUGGAUGCCAGAACCAACAAACACCAAAUCCAACAGCCUUUGAAAGCUCUGUGACAUUCAUGUGGCCAAGGUCAACACUCUGAUUAGACCCAAUGGAGAGAAGAAGGCAUAUGUUCAGCUGGCUCCUGACUGAUGCUUUGAAUGUUGCCAACAAAGUUAGGAUCACCUGAGUCCAGCUGGCUAAAACUAAAUAGAAAUUUUACACGCACACAAACACAGAAUGGAAAUUUAUGUUCUACCAUUACUUGCUGUAUUAGUUUGCCAGUAGCUGCCAUAACAAAAUACCACAGACAGAGUGAAUGAAAAAACAGAAAUUUAUUUCCUCUAGAAUAGCUCUAAAGGCUAGAAGUCCAAGAUCAAGACGUUAAAAGGUUUGGUUUUUUUCUUGGCUUGCAGAGACCUUUUCAUUGAGUCUCAUAUAAUCUUUCUUCUAUGCAGGUGGAACUGUGAUGUUUGUGUGUUUAAAUUUCCUCUUCCAGUCAGAUGAGAUGAGGGUCUAUCCCUAAUGGCCUUAUUUCAGCUUAAUCACCUCUUCAAAGCCCUGUCUCUAAAUAUCUCACAUUCUGAAGAAUUAAAAGUUAAUGCUUCAACAUACAAAUUUUGGAGGAACAAUUCAGCAUAUAACACUUAGGGUUUUAUUCUGUAGAAAAUGCUGCAGAGUUUAUUAUGAUAUCCUAGACGUUAAAUUUUAUGAAUUUAUGGAAAGCAAAUAGAAAUGGGAAAAUACAGAACACUAACACUAUAGAAGUUCAAUAAUUAGAAGAACUUGCUAUAGCUGAAUCUUUAAAAGACACUUUAAAGAUUACCCUUCAUUUCAGGUAAUAGAUAUGUGUUCCAUAUUUCAAAAGUGAUCAUUUGAUGAAUAGGGCUGUGUUUAAUUUGCCCUUUUUUCCUUUAUUUCACUUGUGAGAAAAUUCAGUUUCUUUCUAUAGAAGUAAAAUGCCAGUGACAGUUUGUGCUUAUUCAUUUACUCAUUCAUCACCAUGCUCAUGGACCAUACAUUAAUUAUUACACACAUACAUAGAUGCAGUAUUUUACAAGGUAAAUUUUAUCUCCAAACUCAUGGAAUUUAUAUUCUAACAUGGGAGAUGGACAUGGAUAAACAUUGAUAUUAUUAGUUCUAAUGACUAAUAAAAUAAUGUGUGAUAAGUGACAAGAAUUUUUACUACUUCAUCUCACUUUGUCCUUGGAUUCCUUGCCAUAUCCUUUGAGCUGAUUUUUAGUCUUGUUACUAUUCUGAUUUUUAAAAUUUAAUAUACAUACACUUCAACAUUUUGCUUGAAAAGAGUGGUAUUGGAUCUCUGAAGAUGGUAAAAAAAACUGAUACUGUCACCUUCUUUUAAUUACUGAACCUCUUUGUUUAAACAAAGAUUUGGUUUUUUGUCAUCUACUGCCAUAAUAAGAAGUCCUUUUACCUGUUAUUGCUGGCAUACUAUUUCCUAUAAAAGUCACAUUCCAAAAAGCAAAAGUUACUCUUCUGUUUUCCUUUCUUUUAAGAAACCUUCCUUGGAAAAAUAAGAUGUGGAACACAGUAGAUAGAAAAAGUAAAGGUAAAUUAUAGAGCAGCUGCUUAAUUUCAAAGAAGCAAUAUGAAUCUACAUACUUUAGAAACUUUACAAAGAUUUGUAGAGUUGCAAAGAACUAAAAAAGUAUCAGCCCUGACAAAAUUGUCAUUUGUGGUACAGAGAUCCAAGCACAGCUCUCAAGAUUUGUUUCUGUCCUUGCUGUUGAAACUACCAUUGCAGACGUGAUUGUUGUGAUCAUGUAUCACUUCAUUAUUUCUACCAAACAAAUGAAGCUCCUUCAAUCAUCUCGACUCCUUCAUUCCAGUUUGUGAGAAGAGAAUAGAGACUCAGGUUUACAACCUGCCAAGACAUUAUCUUUGAUACCAGUUUUUUCAGAUUGAAGAAACUUUAUUGUGAUUCCCCUCAUUUCUGCUGUGGACAAAGGCCUAGGAAAAGAGAACUGGUUUAUAAUCUCUAGUGACAAAAGAUUUCAAGUCAAGGGAGACAUUGAGUACAAGAACCAAGAGUUGAAUACACAGUCAAAGAAGAGAAAAAUAGACAACCUAUCUUCCAAGAACUCAUUCAAAUUGUAUGUCUUCAGUUUGAAAGCCUCAAUGGGAGUUGAGUAACUCCAAAGCAUGAGCAGAAGGUUCUUUAUACAUGCCGUGAAAUCAGCUGACAAGGUAACUGGGUUGGCAAGUGCUUCUGAGACUCCUAAGAAGUAAAAAUUUGUUCACCAAAAAUUGGUGGAUAAAGUCUAUGAUUGCUUCAUUCACAGAAUUACACUAGGGAACAGAGUAUAUGCUAGGAAGAUUAACUAGAGGUUUUCCAGAGUUGGAUCUGCCUCUUUCAGACCUACCAUUGAGGAGGUUGACUAAACAGACCUGAAAAUAAGUAUAUUCCCUAGAAGUCACAAAGUUAAAAGAUAAAAAUAAAUAAAUUUCAACUUUAGACCUUAGGUUUGGGACUUAGCCUUCCACAGAAAACAGCCAUAAAACUAGUCAAAAUAUAUAAGGUCUUCUUUCUAGGUGUUGAGCAGCAGGCAUUUAAGGCUGCCAUCCUUGAGAGAAAGGAAAAAUACCAAGUGAGCCACAUGUCCUCCCCAGUUUCUGCCAUGGGACACUUUCCUGUUGCAGUGUGGGGUGGGUAGAACUCAGGAGCAGCUGCAAUUGCAUCAAGCUAAGCAAGCAGAGAGUAGAGUUCUGGGCUGCUGAAGUGACUAGAAUUUGUGAGAUAGUGUACUUGAGAGGAAAGAACUGCAUACAGCGGGGACUUCCUAGGAGUCUGGGGUUGGGGGACGGUGGUGGUUAGCUCAGGUUUAGCUCCAUUCUAAAGCUAUACCUGAACUGGGCAAGACUCUGAGGCUUAGCAGCAAUCUGCUAAGAGUCUCAGAGCUGGCAAGGAUACCAGCAGUCAUUUAGUGCCAGAAAUUGUUGCCAUUAGACCUUACUCAACACCUUGGUCAUUCUUGAUAUCCCAGAAAGGCCACUGUGCAAGAGUAGGGAUCACUACUUAGCAUAAAAGCUAUAUCCUGGAACUAAAUUUAAACUGAAAUAGACCUAUACUAAUAAAGAAUAAAAACAAACCAAGAAUCCACCAGUAAUUUAACGGCAAGGUGCAGAGCAAAGCUCAACACCUACUAACACCUACACAGACUCCCUUCAACACAAUAUCCACUCUGUCCAGUAUCCAAUCAAAAGUUCCUAGGCAUGUGAAGUAUUCAAAAUCAAAGGUAGAAAAAUAUAACCCAUAAUUGAGAAUAAAAAAAUUAGCAGAAACUGACUUAAAGAUGGCCUAGAUGCUGUAAUUAGCUAAAGAUUUUUAAAACAGCUGCUGUAAUAUGUUUUAAUACUGAAAAGAAAAAAAUGGUCAUAAUGAGUGAACAGACAAUUAGAGAAUAGCAGCAGCAGAGAAAAUAGCAACUUUAUAAUGAAUAGAAUGAAAAUCCUAGUAUUAUAGAACAAUAAAAUUCAUUUAUUCUAUAAUGAAUAAAAUGAAAAUUCUCUAUCACUGGAUAGAGACUACAGAAGAAAGGGCUGUGGAACUUGAUAGCAGAUAAAUACAAGUACAGUGUGGAAUGCUGAGGAUGUAAAUCCUUCCCCACCUCCUCCUUCUAUUCUUCCCCUCGACAUAAGUAUCCAUAAAAAAUAGACAAGUUACAUUCAAAAGUAGGCAAUAAUCAGUCUGGCUUUACAUUUCUCAGCUACAAACAAUGCUAUAAGAAAAUGGAACAACUUGAGUUUAAAAAACGGGAAUAUAGUUGUGAGUUGGGACUUACACGUAUUACCAAUUUCUCUCAUCCAUGUUUGUCUUUGUUUAUGUUUUCAGCUAAACAGAAGUUUGUGAAAUAUGUUCAUAUGCCUUUUAAACUUAAAAGCUACUUCUUGAAGACAUACUUUAGAAGACCUUGGGGUUUGAGGAAAGUUGUACUAGAAAUGAUUGUUUCCUAUGGAACUCCCUCCUAAGGAAAUAAUCAAAAUAUAUGAAAAUAUUUGUAUACAUUUUUAUUGCCUUAUUUAUUGGGGAAAAACCUUAUUGUUUAAUAAGUGUUCAUAAAAAUAAUAUGAAGCCAUUGAAAUAUACUAACAACUGAGGAAAGAAAAUGCUUUUAGUAGUAGAAAAAAAGCACGAUACAGAUUUAUAUUUUAAAUAAAAAUGGAUAUUAAAAAGUAGCAGGAAAUAUGUAGACAUUUUGCCUCUUGACUAUGGGCAUUUGUAGUGGCCAUAUUUUCUGUUUCUAUGUUUUCCAAAUUUUCUAUAAAGAACACAAUCCAAAAAGCUUAAGGAUAAAUUGCAUAUAUGAGGGGACAGAAGAUGUUAAUCUAUUAAUGCCUGUGAAACUAUUGUUGUAGACUGUGAUUUUCAUCUAAAAAUUCUGAUUUUAGAAAGAAUGUAAGCUUUGAAGUAUUUUGGGAAGAAGAUAAAGAAUAUUGUCCCAGUGAAGGAUGCCUUACACAGGAGUUUAUACCAUGUCAUUUCAUGCAUAUGAAGUUCUAGAAUAGGCAAAACUGAUAGAUGGUAAAAAACAAAA